UGCUCUCGGAAGGUGCCGAGAGCCGGCAGCCUGGACACGAGGGAGAGCGCGUUGAAUGUUUGAUUCACAUUUCCUGCCAUUAAAUGUUGAUAACUUAAUCCACCCGUGUCCGGAAGCCUGUUUCUCCACCAUCUGCGUAGUGCCCCAGUUUCGAGAAUACCUUACAGUAUUUACAUGAAACGGAUAAUUCGAUUUCAGUCCGACUAAGCCAAUAAUUCGAAUGCAUGUAAACGCACUGACUGAGGGCCGCCGCUUUCAGGAGCGGUGGUAAUUACUCGUGUUUCCCAUACCAUGAGAACAGAGUGGGGGUCCGCCCCACUGAAAUGUUUUCUAUAGCGCCAGAUUACAACAUGAGUAAUGUCAGGUUGUUUUAUUCAACUAAACGGUCAUAUAUUAUUGAUCGUAUCUACACAGCGGCAUGUCAUUUCUGUCUCUACGUGGUGGCGUUCACACUUCUCCUGGCUCUCGGUAUCGCGGCGGAGCUCCGCCCCCAUGCACACAGACAGGUGCGCACAUACAGGUGAGCGCGCUCCAACCAGCCGGCAGAGAGCGUCCAAUAUGUCGCGGGAACAGCAAACCGACACCUCUGCGUUCCCACGGUGGUGAAGACAAGUCGUCUCAGAGUCGCUCUCUGCUCCGGGUUCAAGAGCAGAGACGAGGAGCAGAUCACUUGCAGCAAGGGAUCCCCUUCCCCCGAAGUUCACACCUGGCUCGGAGAGAAGGGGGUAGCAGACAGAGCCAUCCUGAGGACCCCUGUGAUGCCAUUCAGAGUAGGGGACAGAACGACACAGAGGAAGAGGGACAGAUGACUUCAAGUGUCAAGGGGCGUGGACACGCUUUCAACACCGACGGACAGACAGCUCAGCCAAUGAGUGGAUUAGGACUAAUGUUUUACCGAGACAGAUUAACCAAUGAGAAGGGAAUAUCUCCCCUGGGGCCCGGAACGCACGGGAGGUAUAAAAACAGAUGUUGACCAGAAAGACAAGGCUUUUGACCUUUUGGAUGACGGCAGAGAUGCACUGCAUGCAGGUUAGCUGCAUGUAGGCCGUUGAUUCUGUGAGAAGCCCUCAGUUGAGGAUUAGAUUUAGUGAGCUUGACUUCUGUUAGACAGUUAACUGCUUUGGCGGUCUGUGGACGCAGUGAUUCAUGCUCCCUCAGCUGAGUUAUACUCUCUAUCGCAACCGUUAUUGACCAUUGGUAAUAUUUUCAAUUAAACACCUUUUAUUAUAAUUUGG